rnacentral:rRNA from 1 species
GCUGUGAAGAUGCAGUGUACCCGCGGCAAGACGGAAAGACCCCGUGAACCUUUACUAUAGCUUGACACUGAACAUUGAGCCUUGAUGUGUAGGAUAGGUGGGAGGCUUUGAAGUGUGGACGCCAGUCUGCAUGGAGCCGACCUUGAAAUACCACCCUUUAAUGUUUGAUGUUCUAACGUUGGCCCCUAAUCGGGGUUGCGGACAGUGUCUGGUGGGUAGUUUGACUGGGGCGGUCUCCUCCUAAAGAGUAACGGAGGAGCACGAAGGUUGGCUAAUCCUGGUCGGACAUCAGGAGGUUAGUGCAAUGGCAUAAGCCAGCUUGACUGCGAGCGUGACGGCGCGAGCAGGUGCGAAAGCAGGUCAUAGUGAUCCGGUGGUUCUGAAUGGAAGGGCCAUCGCUCAACGGAUAAAAGGUACUCCGGGGAUAACAGGCUGAUACCGCCCAAGAGUUCAUAUCGACGGCGGUGUUUGGCACCUCGAUGUCGGCUCAUCACAUCCUGGGGCUGAAGUAGGUCCCAAGGGUAUGGCUGUUCGCCAUUUAAAGUGGUACGCGAGCUGGGUUUAGAACGUCGUGAGACAGUUCGGUCCCUAUCUGCCGUGGGCGCUGGAGAACUGAGGGGGGCUGCUCCUAGUACGAGAGGACCGGAGUGGACGCAUCACUGGUGUUCGGGUUGUCAUGCCAAUGGCACUGCCCGGUAGCUAAAUGCGGAAGAGAUAAGUGCUGAAAGCAUCUAAGCACGAAACUUGCCCCGAGAUGAGUUCUCCCUGAGACUUAGAGUCUCCUGAAGGAACGUUGAAGACGACGACGUUGAUAGGCCGGGUGUGUAAGCGCAGCGAUGCGUUGAGCUAACCGGUACUAAUGAACCGUGAGGCUUAACCUUACAACGCCGAAG